rnacentral:rRNA from 1 species
UACGGAGGAUGCGAGCGUUAUCCGGACUUAUUGGGUUUAAAGGGUGCGUAGGCGGGUUAUCAAGUCAGCGGUAAAAUCGUGGAGCUCAACUCCAUCCAGCCGUUGAAACUGAUGAUCUUGAGUGGGCGAGAAGUAUGCGGAAUGCGUGGUGUAGCGGUGAAAUGCAUAGAUAUCACGCAGAACUCCGAUUGCGAAGGCAGCAUACCGGCGCCCGACUGACGCUGAAGCACGAAAGCGUGGGUAUCGAACAGG